GCAUGUUGUGUUGUUGGAAUGGGCUUUUCUCCUUUUUACAGGCAAAGACGAGUAAAUCCUGUUAACUUUGGGCACAUGUCCAGAUGCUGGUGCAAUAUUAUGCUGUGAGGACCAUAUCCUUUUCCAAGGUAUAUUGCUUUCUUAAUCUCACUUCUGCUGCACCCUCACGCUUAUCUGGAGUAUUGAAUGUGCCUCCGAAGUACAGAUCUUACCCAAGAUUUUCUGUCAUGGCUGGUGGCACUCCAAUGAGUAGCUCUAACUGUGAUGUGGAUGCUAAUUCCGAAAGGACUUACCAAGUUGUGCUGGCUGCUACUCGUGACAUGGGUAUUGGGAAGGAUGGAAAAUUGCCAUGGAGAUUACCUUCUGACCUCAAAUUUUUCAAGGAGCUCACGACAGCCACAUCAGAUCCUGGGAAGAAGAAUGCAGUGGUAAUGGGUAGGAAAACAUGGGAAAGUAUCCCCCUCAAGUACCGUCCUUUUCCUGGUCGCCUGAAUGUUGUACUGACUCGUUCUGGAAGUGCUGAUAUUGCUACUGCUGAAAAUGUGGUAAUAUGUGGAAGUAUUCCUUUAGCUUUAAAAUUAUUGGCCGAAUCUACUUAUUCUUUGUCGGUAGAGAAAGUGUUUAUUAUUGGAGGCGGUCAGAUACUAAGGGAAGCACUCAAUUCUCCACAAUGUGCUGCCAUCCACGUUACUGAAAUUGAGACAAGCGUUGAAUGCGACACUUUCACUCCCAAUAUUGAUUUCUCCGUAUUUCAGCCAUGGUACUCAUCCUCCCCAUUGGUGGAAAAUCAUAUCCGAUAUUCUUUUGUGAGUUAUGUUCGUGUAAGAAGUUCCGCAAUUGAAGCUCAUGCUUCAAGGAGUGAGGAUUCCAGUAAGUUUGACGUAGAAAGGUUUACCUUCCUGCCAAAGAUGAUACUGGAGAAACAUGAUGAGUUCGUGUAUCUGAAACUGGUUCAAGAAAUUAUCUCUAGUGGCACCCAGAAAGAUGACAGGACAGGGACUGGUACUUUAUCUAAAUUUGGUUGCCAGAUGCGGUUCAAUCUUCGCAGAUCUUUCCCGCUUCUUACAACUAAGAGAGUAUUUUGGCAAGGAGUUGUCGAAGAACUGUUGUGGUUUAUCAGUGGCUCAACAAAUGCAAAGGUUCUGCAGGAGAAAGACGUACAUAUAUGGGAUGGAAAUGCAUCCAGAGACUUCCUUGACAGGCAUAUUGGUUUGUCAGAUAGGGAAGAAGGUGACUUGGGACCAAUUUAUGGAUUUCAGUGGAGACACUUCGGUGCUAGAUAUACCAACAUGCAUGCUGACUAUACAAGCCAAGGGUUUGAUCAGUUGUCAGAUAUUAUUGACAAGAUCAAGAAUAGACCUGAUGACAGGCGAAUUAUCCUCUCAGCCUGGAAUCCACAAGAUCUUAAGUUGAUGGCACUUCCCCCUUGUCAUAUUUUUGCGCAGUUCUAUGUAGCCAAUGGGGAGCUUUCAUGUCAAAUGUAUCAGCGGUCUGCUGAUAUGGUUCUCGGUGUUCCAUUUAAUAUCGCGUCUUAUGCAUUAUUGACAUGUAUGAUCGCUCAUGUUUGUGGCCUAUUUCCUGGUGAUUUUAUUCAUAUAAUUGGGGAUGCCCAUGUUCAUAAAACUCAUAUCAGGCCUCUACAGGAGCAGCUUCAGAAACUUCCCAAACCUUUUCCUAUUUUGAAGAUCAAUCCAGCGAAGAAAGACGUAGAUUCAUUUGUGGCAGCUGACUUUGAACUUGUAGGGUAUGAUCCUCACCAGAAGAUAGAAAUGAAAAUGGCAGUAUAAAGGUCUAAAAGGGUGGUACAGUUUUCUCCCUUCAAAGCCCAUGCUAGUUUUGAGAUUUGCCCAGUUUCCUCCUUUUUGCUUUGGAGGAACUUGAUAAGCCCCUGUAGUGCAACUUCAGCAUCAUCACUCUUCAUCAACUCUCUUGCAACUUCCGCAGGUGUCGUCUCCGUCUUCUCUAAUAGCUCUUUGAUGUCUCCGAACAGUGGAUGCUCCUGAAUUUGCAAGUAAUUAGAUGCUAAUGUCCUGAAACCACUAAAAGAGCAAUAUGACAUGUUGAGGUGCACAUCCAUGCGACCGGGCCUCAGCAGCGCAGGAUCUAGACGGUCUUUGUGAUUCGUCGUAAACACAAUGAUUUUCUCGUCUCCACAGCUUGACCACAAUCCAUCAAUGAAGUUCAAAAGACCAGACAGUGUAAUCUGCGAUGGGAAGAACACAUUAAAUUGGUCUGAAUGAUACCUUUCAAGUAAAUGCAGGAACAGAGAAGUACCUUGCCAUCCUCUUCAGAUUUGGCUCCCUUCUCCAGAUCCCGAUUCUGCAACUCAGCUGAACAAUCAAUGUCCUCUACUACCAGUAUUGAUCGACUACCCGUGCCUAUCAGUAACCGCCGCAGAUCCGAAUUGCACUGAACCUCCCUCAAAUCCAUGUCAUAGAUGUCAAACUUAAGAUAAUUGGCCAUGGCUGCCACUAAGCUUGAUUUUCCGGUACCGGGCGGUCCAUACAACAAAUAUCCACGUUUCCAAGCCUUGCCUACCCUCCUAUAAUACUCCUUCCUUAAUGUAAACCUAUCAAGAUCCUCCGUCAGAGCCUUCUUCGUGUCUGGGUCCAUGGCCAUUGUAUCAAAAGUUGCCGGAUGGUUGAGGUUGAUGGAGCUCCAAUAAUCCGUACCAUUGUAAUCAAUGGUGUGAAUCUUAACCGUCUUUGUCUCUUCUGUUAUCGCUUUUGCUUGUUGAAGAAUGUAGGGCAAGUAAGAGCUCAGCGCCAUGUCCCUAUGCUGCUUGUGAAAACGAAGCUUAAAGCGUCGUAGCUCGGGUCUUGAAAGUCGGUUUUGAUUGCUUUUUUUAUUUGAAUCCAACAUGUCAAUGCGCGAAGACGCCAAAACCCACCCGAAUUUCACACCCUUGUAGAAAUCGACCAGUUCUUGAUCCGUGUCGAUUGCCACUGCUAGUUCCUUCUCCUUCUGUGGCUUAUGUACCUUGAUUCUCAGAGUUGAAGGCGAUAACUUUCUGGCCAAGUAAACGCUGGCUGCCUCGAACAUUUGGUUUUGGGUGAGCCCUUCAAACUCGUCGAUGACGACGGUGAGCUGACAAGACAAACGAGUGGAGAGCUUCUGGAAGUAUUCAUGGACGGCUUCGGGGACGAGAUCGUUGGCAAUGUUUCGGACGAUAAUUGCUGAGGCGGCGAGAGAGGUGGCCACUGAUAUUAUCAUGGAUUGGUUUUGGAGAAAAGCUUUGAUCAGCACCAUUCUGAUUUGGCUUGGUAUGAGAAGUGUGAGGGUUUUACGAGGGUUUACUUCGACAGAGAGUCGGAAACCGACCUGGAGGAGUUUGAAAGUUGGGAACUUUGUAGAAGGGUUCGUUUUUGGUGCGAAUAGAAGUAGGGAACUAGAUUCUAGAAUGCUCUUCUGCAACUUCAUUCCCAGUACUUGGGUAUUAUUUCGCAAUUUCUCAUGGGGAAUAAAAUUUUAUAAAGUUAUUUAAAGUCA